UUUCGUCUCUCUCUUUCUCUGCCUCCAGUCUCUCCUGAUCUUGCUCAAUCCCUCUCUUCUCUUCCGGGUGUGUUCAGCAUGCACAUUGCUCCUCCCUUCUGCACACCUACUCCUACCCACCCACCCAUUCGCUCACAGUCACCAGGCUGUGUGAGAGGGGGAUUGUUCAAGUCACUUGGCUGCUGGUCCUAGACAGGAACGCGCCUGCAUUUUAACUGAACCAGAACUUCACAGUUCCACACAGAUCCACAGUCGUAUACAGCCAGGAGCUAAAUUCCAUUACACUGCAGUCAUCUCAGCUCUGCCAACGUUCUGGCUUGCCUUCAAAAUACUCAGUGCCUCUUGGGAGUGUGUUGUGAGUUUAAGCCAAGCCACUUGGAGUCUAAAGUUAGCACAGGCUGGCUAAAAAUAGUCCUUCAUGUCAGAAGUUGCAAGCGAAAUGAGAGUGACUUUCUCACUGGUCCCAGGAAGUUGAACGAAUUUUUUUUUAGUUGCAACGAGCUUGACUUUAACGUGUAAUUGGUUAAAUAAACAGGAAGUUUUAGUCACUGUAAGGUCUUUGACGUCAGUUGUGAAAGCAUCAAACUUACCACAGUGGGAGCUCUGACACUCAGCGAGGGAGCAGUCGGAACGGGAGAGAGACUCCCUCCCACAGACAGCGUUCAAUGACACUACCUGAGAGAGUCAGAGGGACUGAGCAAGUAGCGAGGCAGUGCUUUCAAACGUGUCUCCGGGCUGCUUCACACACAUGCUGAGGGUCCACGUGGUACAGAGAGCAAGGUGAAAUAGAAACUUUUGAAGACCUCGCUACAGCCCAGCGGUUCAAUCGGCUAACCCACUCACUGUGCCUGUAUUCUGUGUGUGAGCAGCCUCCCUGCUUGUAAUCCAGCUUGUAAAUACUGAGUAUUCACCUGUACACUGUGUGAACAUUCACUCCGCCUGUCCCUUGUGUGAGUAAUCACUCUGCCCGUACACUGUGUGAGAGUGUGUGAGUAUUCUCUCUGUACGACUGACAGAGCAAGCCAGUGUAACAAUGUUGGAGACUGUGCGCACGUUCUUUCAGUCGAUGUGGGAGUUGAUCUUGGCCAAGCACAAUGAGGGGCUGUACAACUCGAUCUGCCUGGUGGUUCUGCUGAUUCUGCCCAUCCUGCUGCUGUUGCUUGUCCUGUGUCUCUGCUGCUACGGCUGCUGUAGUGGGCGGCACACUCCCUGCAAGUGCUGUCGACGGCAAAAAGACACAGUCAGGAAGAAGAACCCCGACGACCUCUGGAUCCAAAGGCAGCCGCAGCCCAUCAUGAUGGACAGUCUCUCCGUGCCAGUGUAACAUUCCAUGCUGCCACUCAGUCUCCUUCCAGCUUACCCCUCAAUCCAAAGUAGCACUUCAGAACAACAAAGAGCGGGCAUUACUGUACUGUGUGGAGACUUGGCAGCUGACAGCGUGGACACGUUUCCGAAUUUCGACCUUUUGCUGCGCUGAUUGCCUGAGGGAUGAGACUGCUCAUUGACUUUGCGAUCUUACAGCCUGAGCACUGGUUAUUAUCUGACUCUUGGAGUAAGUGGGUCACUUUGCACAAGCAUCCAGGCUCCCACCCGUCACCACAACUGCACUGGAUCCCAGAACGGUCCCAUUCUCAAACUCUCUGCUGUCCCUGUCUCAACCCAGCCCUUCACCUCGCGUCUAUCUGCUGUGGUUAGUCCUCUGCUAUCAAUUUAAAGACAGGUGGUUUUGUGUCAAUGUACACUGUUUGUAAUUACACCGGGAAGUCAGUCAUACUCUGACUGCAGUUUGUACAACUUUACAUGAUGUCUGUUGUCGUGUUGUAUGUACUGUGACCAGUACGUGUAUGGAAAUGUGACUGGUUACAGUGACUCGAUGUGUCUGUAUUGUAUAAUAUGGUAUAAUUAGAGUACAGUGGUCGAGUAUACAGCAUGGACAGUAUAUACAAUUCAUCCACACUGGAUACCAUGACUGCAGUGUGACUGGAUUGUAUAAUACAAUUGCUGUAAAGUAUGAAAUGUCACUGUGGUAUGUCACAGUGCCAGUGCUGAAGGCAGGGGAGGCACAGUUUUGACAAUGUUUGUGAUUGGACCACUCCUUUCUAAGGAAUGUGCCUUAGCUUUUAAGCAUUGGCUUGCAAAGACAAUCCAUGUACUUGCAGAACCAGGCAGCUUCUCAAAUUGACCAUUCACUGGGCUUGUAACUGUUCACUUGAAUAUUGCACUGAAUCACAGUAAACUUACUGACAAGCUAGAAACCUCUCCGAUAUUGUGCUUCUCAGCUUUAGACCUGUCAUACUGUUUGAUAUUUAUAAAGUACCUGAUUUGGAUGGUCAGAUCCAAUGAAGGGAGAAUGUUUUUAUUUGAAUUAUUUUGGAAUGGCUGUGUGAAUAAUCGAAUUUCUUUUUACAAAGUGUUUCCGACAGUUACAUUCAAUAAUAACCAAAUAACGUGUGUUGCCUCUGUCAAUGUAUGGUGUCAAGCAGACAUAUCAGGCAUCUGCUCCUACCCCUACGUCUUACUGUCUUAUGGUACGCGCCAGUCUGUAAUGGACACUCUCUCAGUUGGUACGUGCUGGUCUGUAACACGCCCUCUCAGUUGGUACAUGCUGGUCUGUAACGCGCCCUCUCAGUUGGUACACCGUUCGAGUGAGAACUGGCAGAUACAGAUCCAUUCCCUGAUUCACGUGCCCUGUCAGGUGUCUACAGUUGGCACUCUGCAUUCCCAGAAGCAUGUAUUGAUAUUGAGGCAUUGUAUUCUGUGUUUAGAUGUUAUUUGUAAAAUAUCUUUUCUAUUUUCUUCAGAUCGAUACUGACUAUUAUGACAAAGUAAAUAUUUGGACAAAGUGAAUAUUUUUGAAGGAUAGGAUUAACUGUUACAUUAGUGGAGUUGUAGCUCAGCUUAUAAAAAGCCAUUUCUACAAAAAUAGUUUUGAUUAAAUUGCAUAUGAAUCAAUCGAA